GAGAUAGAGAGAAAGUAGACAGAGAAAGAGACAGAGAGGUUUUCUGGAGAGAGAAAGAGAGAGGUUUCUAGAGAGAAAGAGAGAGUUACCGUUUGUGUCCGUUUUUUCCGUUAAAAGUUUUUGUGAAGAGAGAGAAGAGAGGCAAGCCAUGGUGACGGACCAGGAGAUAGCGAAAGGAGUAGAGACGGUGCUGCGGCAAGCAGACCCAAGCGCCGUUACUUCAUUAAACGGUGUCGUACAGCAACUUGAAGCUAAAUUAGGGUUAGAUUUGUCACACAAAGCUGCUUUUAUUCGUGACCAAAUUGACCUUCUCCUCCGUUCCCACCCUAUCACUAUCACCGCCAGUGCUACCGCGCCCGCCUCCGUGACCACCACAGGGCAUCCGCCACCACAACAUCAAGCUUUUCAGUUCCAACAAGGGCAAGCUCUUAACUUAACCCCUAAAGACCAUUUUGCCCUCCAAUUUCAACAACAAUUUCACCCUUCCCAUUUUGCCAUUCACCCUCACCACCAGCACCAGCACCAGCGCCAUCCUCAACAACACCACCAGCACCAGGUUUUUUCUCAGGACCUUAACUUUAGGCAGCCACAAGCGGUGGUGACUCCCCCAGCUCCGCCACCUCAGCUGCAAGCACAGCAGCAGCAUAGGCAGACACAGCAUGUGCAAAAUGCUGGGGUUGUUACUAAUGAAGUGGCUAAAGAGAGCAGUGCUCCAGUUGGAUCCAAAAGAAGAGGUGGACCUGGUGGGUUAAACAAAGUAUGUGGUGUUUCACCUGAACUUCAGGCCAUUGUUGGUGAGCCAGCGCUGCCAAGGACUGAGAUUGUGAAGCAAUUGUGGCAAUACAUAAGGAAAAACAACCUCCAGGAUCCAAGUAACAAGAGGAAGAUAAUUUGCGAUGAUGCUUUACGUGUGGUUUUUGAGACAGACUGCACUGACAUGUUUAAGAUGAAUAAGUUACUGGCUAAACAUAUCAUCCCGCUUCAACCAUCAAAGGAAUCCAGUCAAGCAAAGCGAGCAAAGGUGGAUGUUGAGACUCCAACUGAAAAUACUGAACCUGGUGCAUCACUUGUGGGAAUAUCUGAAAGACUUGCUGAGUUUUUGGGGACUACUGAGAGGGAAAUGACCCAAACAGAAGCAUCCAGACGUGUUUGGGAGUACAUAAAGCUAAAACAGUUGGAGGAUCCGUUAAAUUCAAUGGCGAUACAAUGUGAUACAAAGCUUCGUGAUCUUCUUGGAUGUGAAAGCAUAUCUGCAGUGGGGGUAGGAGAGGUGUUAGCACGGCAUCAUUUAUUCAAACGGUCAUGAUGUUCCGUUAUGAUGACUGGUUAGUAUGAUCCACAAUCUUUAGUAUUGUUGUGUCUCCUGUUUUUGUGUUUUAGGUGGUGAUUUGAUUACCCUGCUGCUUUUUUAUAAAUCUUCACCCGAGUAGUUUAGCUUUAGAAGUUCUGUUGUUGCUGAAUCCCCCUUGCUGUCAUCCUUUGGGUUUAAAACCUUUUUGGUGCAUGGAACAAUGACCAUCUGCUCACUUCUGAUAGUAGAACAGAUAGCGAAGAAGCUUAUUUUGUUUUUCUGAUCGUUUAUUUUUUGUUGUGUCCUUUGUGAAUUAACGUGGUUAGAUGAAAUGGUGAUUACUCGACUCUGAUCAGAAUGAAAAUGUAACAACCGUCACUGACCUUGGAUGUAGUAGGUUUUCGUGCUAAUUUUAUUGUCAGUUUGACUUCCCGAUGCCUAACCCUCGUAGUAGAAUGAAGGAAACCGCAGUGGAAUUGUAAAAUCCUGUUAACUUGAAAAAGACCAAUAUGUGUAUCCUGUUAUAUAGCCUGUUGUUUUCUACUGCAA